UACGAAGGGGGCUAGCGUGGUUCGGAAUCACUGGGCGUAAAGCGCACGUAGGCGGAUCUUUAAGUCAGGGGUGAAAUCCCGAGGCUCAACCUCGGAACUGCCUUUGAUACUGGGGAUCUCGAGUCCGGGAGAGGUGAGUGGAACUGCGAGUGUAGAGGUGAAAUUCGUAGAUAUUCGCAAGAACACCAGUGGCGAAGGCGGCUCACUGGCCCGGAACUGACGCUGAGGUGCGAAAGCGUGGGGAGCAAACAGG
rnacentral:rRNA from 1 species